GAUGAACGCUGGCGGCGUGCUUAACACAUGCAAGUCGAACGAUGAAGCCCAGCUUGCUGGGUGGAUUAGCGGCGAACGGGGGAGCAACACGUGAGUAACCCCCCCUUCACACUGGGAUAAGCGAGGGAAACUGGGUCUAAUACCGGAUAGGAGCGUCCACAGCACGGUGGGUGUUGGAUAGAAUUAUCGGUUUUGGAUGGACUCGCGGCCUUUCAGCUUGUUGGUGGGGUAAUGGCUCACCAAGGCGACGCCGGGUAGCCGGCCUGAGAGGGGGACCGGCCACACUGGGACUGAGACACGGCCCAGACUCCUACGGGAGGCAGCAGUGGGGAAUAUUGCACAAUGGGCGCAAGCCUGAUGCAGCGACGCCGCGUGGGGGAUGACGGCCUUCGGGUUGUAAACCUCUUUCAGUAGGGAAGAAGCGAAAGUGACGGUACCUGCAGAAGAAGCACCGGCUAACUACGUG
rnacentral:rRNA from 1 species